UAACCUACGGGACGCAGCAGUGGGGGAUAUUGCACAAUGGGGGAAACCCUGAUGCAGCGACGCCGCGUGAGUGAAGAAGUAAUUCGUUACGUAAAGCUCUAUCAGCAGGGAAGAAAAUGACGGUACCUGACUAAGAAGCCCCGGCUAACUACGUGCCAGCAGCCGCGGUAAUACGUAGGGGGCAAGCGUUAUCCGGAAUUACUGGGUGUAAAGGGAGCGCAGACGGCAGUGCAAGUCUGGAGUGAAAGACCGUGGCUUAACUACGGGACUGUUCUGGAAACUGUGCAGAUAGAGUGGAGGAGAGG
rnacentral:rRNA from 1 species